GUAAUCCUGGAAUUACUCUGUAAUUAUCUGCCAUCAAGCCUCUUACUGGAAAUAACUUUGAGGAAUGGUAUGAGUCUUUCAAUGUGCAUAUGACUCUGCAUAAUUUGGACUUGGCUUUGAGAGUUAAUGAGCUAAGUAAGCCCACUGAUGUGAGCUCUGUUGAUGAAAGAUCCUUUUAUGAGAGAUGGGAGCACUCCAAUAGGAAUUGUUUGAUAGGAUUAUCACCCAAAAUGGUUUUAAAGAGAAUAC